UCAGUUUAUGAGUGAAAAAAGUUUGACUUUUUAAGUAGAUUUAUUUCUAAUGUGUGGUUUUGAGGUUUUCUCCAAACUUUGGUACCUCUAGCUCUAUUAAGUGGGUUCUCUGUAAGGGGUACGGUGGGUCUAAUCUUGGUGAGAAAUAGUUUCAAUCUUUUCACCCUCUAGAGUAUAGACUAGUAUAGAUUUUUCUCCAAAGUAGCAUAAUCCAUUCAAAGAUUUAUGGACAUUAAUUUGUAGUGGAACUUGGAUCUUCAUAUGCUAAUGCAUAUAGUAUAUAGUAUUAGACAAACAGGCAUGAGGUAUGGAUAUAUAGUAUUAAACUAAGAGGGAAAGAUGCAUGGGCAUUGAUUAGUGGUUAGACUACUUUGGAUUCUCUCAUGCUGUUUGAAAGAUUUAUAGACAAUUAUGAGUAGUAAUUAGACAUGGAUUCCACAACCUCCAUAUGGAAGCAAAUAUAUUUAGUAUAUGCACAAAUUAAUUCAUAGUGAGACCUGGAUUCUCACAUGCUAUAUCAAAGAUCCACGGCCGUUGAUGAGUUGAUAGACAUGGAUUCUCAAAUGAUCCAAGAGAUCAUGGACAUUUAUUAGUUAUUAGACAUGGAUUCCCCUCAUGCCUAUAUAAAGAUGUGCAGGUGCUGGGUAAGGUUCACAUCUCUCGCAGCAAUCCUAGUAGUGCAGGAAUGGCUACUACUAAAACAAUCCUUCAUCCUCUGGUCUUUGUCUUAGCUCUUACUAUGCUCGUAGCGCUUGCUCAUGGGAGCUUCUUCGUUUUCAAGAUAAAUGUUUUCAAACACUGCAUGGGUGUCAUAAAAAAAGAUCCCCCACAAAGCCAUGACCCAAGUAAAAAAUGCAAGAAGGUAGUGGAAGACAGUAACCUAGUUGGCAUUUGUUCUGUCCUCACCGAACAAGACGAGCAGCAGAUAAGCGUGGAGAGGCUUGUUAGUCUCGGGCGCAAGUAUGACAAAGUGUUUCCACCCGGGGCCAGAUGCGGAACCUCUUAUAUUAUUCCAGAACUUCCGGGACCACCACUGCUGUAGAAGGCACAUCCAUGAACGCUCCUUAGCAGAUAGAGAGCGCUACAAUAAUAAAAUAACAGAUAUUUGCAUAUGGCUGAGAUCAAAAAAUAUUUCUGUCAUGUCAUGGUGCUAGUGCUAUGAAUAAAAUAGUCUUCUGAUCUAUCUUGUGGGUUUUGGCACCUGAUGUGUAAUAUGUUGAAUAACAACAUAAAACAGUGAGCGCUUAUGUUGAAUGCUAUA